GAGGAGGGGUCCAGGAGAGCUGGUUAAUAUAUUCAAGGAUCACCUCCUCCAAGUUCAAGAGUAGUGCAUCCCUAUGAGCAAGAAAUCCACAAAGCAGGA